rnacentral:rRNA from 1 species
CGCGGCCUAUCAGCUUGUUGGUGAGGUAAUGGCUCACCAAGGCGACGACGGGUAGCCGGCCUGAGAGGGUGACCGGCCACACUGGGACUGAGACACGGCCCAGACUCCUACGGGAGGCAGCAGUGGGGAAUAUUGCACAAUGGGCGCAAGCCUGAUGCAGCGACGCCGCGUGAGGGAUGACGGCCUUCGGGUUGUAAACCUCUUUCAGUAGGGAAGAAGCGAAAGUGACGGUACCUGCAGAAGAAGCGCCGGCUAACUACGUGCCAGCAGCCGCGGUAAUACGUAGGGCGCAAGCGUUAUCCGGAAUUAUUGGGCGUAAAGAGCUCGUAGGCGGUUUGUCGCGUCUGCCGUGAAAGUCCGGGGCUCAACUCCGGAUCUGCGGUGGGUACGGGCAGGCUAGAGUGAUGUAGGGGAGACCGGAAUUCCUGGUGUAGCGGUGAAAUGCGCAGAUAUCAGGAGGAACACCGAUGGCGAAGGCAGGUCUCUGGGCAUUAACUGACGCUGAGGAGCGAAAGCAUGGGGAGCGAACAGGAUUAGAUACCCUGGUAGUCCAUGCCGUAAACGUUGGGCACUAGGUGUGGGGGACAUUCCACGUUUUCCGCGCCGUAGCUAACGCAUUAAGUGCCCCGCCUGGGGAGUACGG